AAUGAUUUACUUGACGCCUUGAGAAUGAUCCAAUCUGAUCUGAUCUAGCAAGCUAAGCAGGGUUGGAGCUGGUUAUUACUUGGAUGGGAGACCACUGGAAAUACUUGGUACAACAGUG
rnacentral:rRNA from 1 species